CAGCAAAAAAAAUAUCGACCACGGCAGGAUUCGAACCUGCAAUCUUCUGCUCCGUAGGCAGACGCGUUAUCCAUUGCGCCACGCGGCCACAUUUCC
rnacentral:tRNA from 1 species